rnacentral:rRNA from 1 species
AGAGUUUGAUCCUGGCUCAGGAUGAACGCUGGCGGCAUGCCUAAUACAUGCAAGUCGAACGAGAGGAAGGAAAGCUUGCUUUUCUGAAUCUAGUGGCGAACGGGUGAGUAACACGUAGGUAACCUGCCCAUGUGCCCGGGAUAACUUCUGGAAACGGAUGCUAAAACCGGAUAGGUAGCAGACAAGCAUUUGACUGCUAUUAAAGUGGCUAAGGCCACGAACAUGGAUGGACCUGCGGUGCAUUAGCUAGUUGGUGAGGUAACGGCCCACCAAGGCGACGAUGCAUAGCCGGCCUGAGAGGGCGGACGGCCACAUUGGGACUGAGACACGGCCCAAACUCCUACGGGAGGCAGCAGUAGGGAAUUUUCGUCAAUGGGGGGAACCCUGAACGAGCAAUGCCGCGUGAGUGAAGAAGGUCUUCGGAUCGUAAAGCUCUGUUGUAAGAGAAAAACGACAUUCAUAGGGAAUGAUGAGUGAGUGAUGGUAUCUUACCAGAAAGUCACGGCUAACUACGUGCCAGCAGCCGCGGUAAUACGUAGGUGGCGAGCGUUAUCCGGAAUGAUUGGGCGUAAAGGGUGCGUAGGUGGCAGAACAAGUCUGGAGUAAAAGGUAUGGGCUCAACCCGUACUGGCUCUGGAAACUGUUCAGCUAGAGAACAGAAGAGGACGGCGGAACUCCAUGUGUAGCGGUAAAAUGCGUAGAUAUAUGGAAGAACACCGGUGGCGAAGGCGGCCGUCUGGUCUGUUGCUGACACUGAAGCACGAAAGCGUGGGGAGCAAAUAGGAUUAGAUACCCUAGUAGUCCACGCCGUAAACGAUGAGAACUAGGUGUUGGGGGAAUAACUCAGUGCCGCAGUUAACGCAAUAAGUUCUCCGCCUGGGGAGUAUGCACGCAAGUGUGAAACUCAAAGGAAUUGACGGGGGCCCGCACAAGCGGUGGAGUAUGUGGUUUAAUUCGAAGCAACGCGAAGAACCUUACCAGGCCUUGACAUCCCUUGCAGAGGUAUAGAGAUAUAUCCGAGGUUAUCAAGGAGACAGGUGGUGCAUGGUUGUCGUCAGCUCGUGUCGUGAGAUGUUGGGUUAAGU